AUUGAACGCUGGCGGCAUGCUUUACACAUGCAAGUCGAACGGCAGCGCGGGCUUCGGCCUGGCGGCGAGUGGCGAACGGGUGAGUAAUAUAUCGGAACGUACCCAAGAGUGGGGGAUAACGUAGCGAAAGUUACGCUAAUACCGCAUACGAUCUAAGGAUGAAAGCAGGGGAUCGCAAGACCUUGUGCUCCUGGAGCGGCCGAUAUCUGAUUAGCUAGUUGGUGGGGUAAAGGCCCACCAAGGCAACGAUCAGUAGCUGGUCUGAGAGGACGACCAGCCACACUGGAACUGAGACACGGUCCAGACUCCUACGGGAGGCAGCAGUGGGGAAUUUUGGACAAUGGGGGCAACCCUGAUCCAGCAAUGCCGCGUGAGUGAAGAAGGCCUUCGGGUUGUAAAGCUCUUUUGUCAGGGAAGAAAGGGUCGUGGCUAAUAUCCACGACUGCUGACGGUACCUGAAGAAUAAGCACCGGCUAACUACGUGCCAGCCGCCGCAGUAAUAC
rnacentral:rRNA from 1 species